AAUGAACGCUGGCGGCGCGCCUAAUACAUGCAAGUCGAGCGAGAAGACGUAGCAAUACGUUUGUAAAGCGGCGAACGGGUGAGGAAUACAUGGGUAACCUACCCUAGAGUGGGGGAAUAACUAGCCGAAAGGUUAGCUAAUACCGCGUACGCUCCUUGGACUUCGGUUCAGGGGAGGAAAGCGAUGCCGAGGGUAUCGCGCUCUUGGAUGGGCUCAUGUCCUAUCAGCUUGUUGGGAGGUAACGGCUCACCAAGGCUUCGACGGGUAGCUGGUCUGAGAGGACGAUCAGCCACACUGGCACUGCGACACGGGCCAGACUCCUACGGGAGGCAGCAGUAAGGAAUAUUGCGCAAUGGGCGAAAGCC
rnacentral:rRNA from 1 species